UUGGGAGUAAAUGUGCUCUAGAUAUAGGGCUAGCCUACAAAAGAACGCAAGCACCAUGUAUGUUUCAGACACUGAGAUAGAAGCGAGAAGAAUAAGUUUGUGUAUAAUCUCAUGGAGGGGAAAACUAUUCUUCUUUGCUUUAUGGUGAUUGUGCUAAUGGAAAAUUUCAGUCUAACUGGUACAAAAUCAGUGCUCUCCUAUACACAUAUAUAUAUAUAUAUAUAUGUAUAUGUUUCCUUUCUCCUGCCAACAUGAGUAGAAUAGCAUUGUCAAAUGAACUGCAUGAAUUUCUUUGGAACUUUCUUAAUUUAGAAUUGUUUAAUUGGUGUAUGUUCUUGUCUACAGAGAGUUGCAAAGGAUACAUGGGUUUUAUUGCCCCUGUAUGUGGAGAACCAAAAUGUCGGGAGGCCUGUUGGUUGGAAUGGGGAGACCGUGUCAAGAAAGCUUAUUGUAUGAAUGCCAAGGAGUGUUACUGUCUAGUCUGUGAUUAGAGUUGCAAUUUUCCAUCAUGUAUGUAAAACAAUGGAACAUGAUGUGAUCUUUUAAUAAAUUCUUCUUGUAACAUGCAUGUGACAGUACAUGUUGAUCGCCAUUUUUUUGAGAAACACAAG
rnacentral:lncRNA from 1 species